CAGCAGCCGCGGUAAUACGGAGGGAGCUAGCGUUGUUCGGAAUUACUGGGCGUAAAGCGCACGUAGGCGGCUUUGUAAGUUAGAGGUGAAAGCCUGGAGCUCAACUCCAGAAUUGCCUUUAAGACUGCAUCGCUUGAAUCCGAGAGAGGUGAGUGGAAUUCCGAGUGUAGAGGUGAAAUUCGUAGAUAUUCGGAAGAACACCAGUGGCGAAGGCGGCUCACUGGCUCGGUAUUGACGCUGAGGUGCGAAAGCGUGGGGAGCAAACAGGAUUAGAUACCCCAGUAGUCCCUGUCUCUUAUAU
rnacentral:rRNA from 1 species